GGCUUCCUCCCCACCCAGCUGUGCACAAGCUUUCCUAGGGAAUCUAAGCAUCCUUUCCCAGGAAGCUGAACUCCAUGGGCAGAACCAGUAGAAAUAAUCUCCAGGAUGAAGUCCUGUGUGUGGGGUGGAUAACAGCAGGCAGUGAUAAGUCUUGAGUGGAGCCUACUCCUGAGAGAAACCUGAGCAGAAGAGAGGAAAACCGAGCAGGCAAUCUGAAGUGCGUAUGGGGGAAAUUACAUAUCCUCACACUCCUGAACUCAAGCACGGCCACGUGAUUUGCUCUGGGCGAUGACCACGCAUCAGUUCCAGGGGGAAGCUCGAAGUGGAACUUCACCUCGUUCUCUCUUCCUCCUCUGCUCUGAAGAGGAGCAAUGAUGCAGACAGAGCUGCUCCAUCAAUAGACUGAGGUCAAUACAGAGCAGAGCUGCAGCUGACCCACAAGGCACAUGCAGGAAGGACAACUGGGCAAUCAGUCUUUGCUUAGAGAGCCGCUGAGAUUUUGGGUCAUGAAGUAUCAUUACCAUCUUGACGGAUAUUGAGUGUCUUAUACGGGGCACUUAAUAAAGCUUGGGUGAAUGGUUGGGUAAAUGGUAGGAACUACUCAAUGGUAAAAUUUGGUAGGUAUCAAUUGAAUAUAAAUCAAAUAUUUCCUUACAGGGUGUGGAGACCACCGGCUUUUAGGUUAAAUGACAGCUUGGAGAAGUGGCAAACAAAAUAAAGGCCCUGUAAAGCGAAAUAAAGAUCUGGGUUGUGUAGUAUGAUAGCCAUUUAUAAUCAACGUAUGAAGUGUCUAGUCUAACAAUCAGCACAAGAUCUGCCCUCUC